CCCACAUAACACCGUCUCAACAUCUCUUUCAUCCUCUCUUUUUAUUCAGCCCCCAACCUACUUCCAUAUUAUUUCUUAUUAACCUCUCCCACAUAACACCGCUCCCAAAUAACACCAUCCCAACAUCUCUUUCAUCCUAUCUCUUUUUAUCACGCAAACAAUCCUACUAAUUUUAAUAGUUGAAGCUUACGAUUGGAAUCAAAGUUCCAUUUUUGUAUUUUUGGUCGAUUGUUGAUUUGUUAUCCCGGUAGGAAGCUUUUUCUAGAUUUUUGUCCAGCAUAUCUUUUUUACUUAAUCUGCAUGUUAUUUCUUAUAGUUGCUGAAAGUUCCAGAUCCGGAACUUCCUCGAUUCCGAUUUAGAUGAGAAACAAUGAAGAAAGUGCUUCAUCAAAUCAUCCAUGUAUCUCCUCCAACAACUAUCCCACUUCGCCUGAUCUGCAACGAGCGAUCCACUUGUGGUUCUGCUAGCCGAAUUCUCCGCGGUGCUAGUACGUUUCCACUCGGGUGGUUCAGAUAAUGAUCAAGAAGGUUGAGCCCACAAAGUUGCUUACAACAUGGCUUGAGCCAUGUUCAUCAAAGGAGCCGUGCAGCUGUGGGAUUUUCCAAGUCUUAGCUGAAAAGCCUCAACUUCGCAAAGUUGAGAUUUAUCCGAGAAAUGGUCAACUGUUGGCAAUUUGCAAGAACUGGGCGCUGGGAUGUUGCAUGGGAAUCACUUCGAGCUCCUCAGAGGCACCCGCAACUCGAAACCGGAGGCACCCGGUUCAAGAUCAUAUUUCAGGGACGUAAUUGCCUCUAUUUCGGAUAAUAAAUUUGGGAACAUGACUCUAAAGAUUAAUUUUCAAGCAUCAAAGAAAGGAGAGAGUGUAUAAGAUUACUCUGAAGAUGAGAUGAAUUAUUGUAAAGAGUAAGAGAAGAGUUGAAGCUCUUUUCACAUUUUUGAGAA